AUUCUCAUAGUACAACACAUUAAGGACAGAGGUCCCAUAUGGGGAGCAAGUGCACAGUGACUCUUGGUGUUGACUUAACAAAUGACACUCUUGUUUAUGACGUCAGUUAUCACCCGAGGCUCUUGUCAUGAGCUGCCAAGGCAGCAUGUUAUUUUCUCUCUAAGGUAGAAGGGGACCUCAUCUGCCCCAUGUAGCAGGGUAGGUAGGACAGAGGCUUGAGGAGAUGGAGAGCUUAAGAUUGAACUAAGGAUAAAAGCACAACAGGUAUUGCUGAUAAUGAUAACAGCUUAGAAAUAUGCUAGAUCACACGAUUUUUCCCUACUGGUGUGAUUCAGCUUGGGUGCAAACAUGGAGAUGAACAAAAUGUAUUCAUUCAUCAAGACAGGUGGCUGAGUUCAUCCAGUCUAGGCUUUUCCAGGUAUAGUCCAUAGAAGAACAGAGACCAGCAGCACAAAUGGACUACGAGAGGCACUGUCGGGGAGGAGGGAGCGAGUGAGAUCAGCACAGAAGCAGUGACAACGUGGACAUUAGCUGCCAGCAGAGAGCACCCAGCACCCCGCCCGCUCUCAGGACAAGUGCAGAGAGAGCCAGCGAGACCCAAGGAGGGCAGCACUGGUUAUGUUAGAAGGUUUGGGUGGCCCCAGGGAGAGGCCCGUGGGACAUGUGGAGGGCUGUUCUGCAGCUCAGCUGUGUUGUCACUUCUCCACCAGCUGUGCAAGGCAGCAGCCACUACUGAAACCAUUUUACUUCCCAUUAGACUCUCCUUCAGCCUCUUCGACUUCUGAGCCAGAGUCCAAGGUCAAGUGAAAGCCAUGUAGGAGUUCACCGUUUUGUCGCUGGGGGAAGAUGGAAGUUCUUGGCAGAGGUUCCCACCACCAAGUUACCAAGGCAGUGAAUGCACAAAGUGAAAAUGACUGACAGCUGUGUCUAGAAUGUAUUAAUAAUAUUUUAAAAACUACACAUCCAGGGCAAAACUUGCCCUUAAUAGUACACAAACCUUGUCCUCAAAGGUCUAAAUGAAAGUAAAGAGUACAUAUCAGUAAAAAGCAUCUAAAAACUGUGGGGAAAUUAUGGAUGAAAAAAGGAAGAUAUGAAAGCAAAACUUUAUCUUAUUAGAGGCAGUAGUUUAAAAAAUUAUCAAGGGGGCCAGUGCUGUGGUGCUCUAGGUUAAUCCUCCACCUGCAGCGCCGGCAUCCCAUAUGGGUGGCAGUUCUAGUCCUGGUUGCUCCUCUUCCAGUCCAGCUCUCUGCUGUGGCACGGGAAGACAGUGGAGGAUGGCCCAGGUCCUUGGGCCCUGCACCUGCAUGGGAGACCAGGAGAAGCACCUGGCUCCUGGCUUCGGAUUGGCAUAGCUCGGCCGUAGCAGCCAUUUGGGGAGUGAACCAAGGAAGACCUUUCUCUCUGUCUCUCUGUCUCACUGUCUAACUCUGCCUGUCAAAUAAAUAAAUAAAAUCUUUAAAAAAAUUAUCAAGCCAAGAAUACAAGUCUUCUAUAACUUUAAACAAAUCUCUAUUUUUCCUUAUUUCUGCUAUAAGCAAUUCCAAGAACGCUUAUUUUCAUUCUUGCUACUUACAUCAUUAGUUUAGUAUUUAAUGACUUUUUAAAAUUAUAAACAUGCAUCUAUUGCCUUGUACUAUUUACUUUCCACCUACGGUGUGAGGUUUUCUUAGCUGUGCAGUAUAGAAGGGUGUCACCUCUACAAUACAGACACCAUCAUUCCCUUAAAAAUGAAAAGAUUACAGCAGAGUAGUUCUGUACUUUCCUUAUCCUAUAUGUCUAGCAACAUCUUGAUAGAGGUCAAAUUCUAUCCUCAGAAGCUAUAAUUAGACAUUUGGCUUUAGGAGCUGGUCGUUUCCUUUGAUCAUCAAUAAAACUGUCCCUGCACCAAGGGGAUGACAUUUUUCACAGAUCAGAUGGACAUUUUUUUUUUUUUUAAAGAUUUAUUUAUUUAAUUGAAAGAGUUACACAGAGAGAGGAGAGGCAGAGAGAGAGAGAGGUCUUCCACCCGAUGGUUCACUCCCUAGAUGGCUGCAAAAGCCAAGGACUUGGGCCAUCUUCUACUGCUUUUGCAGGCCACAGCAGAGAGCUGGAUUGGAAGAGGAGCAGCUGGGACUAGAACCAGCGCCCAUGUGGGAUGCCAGCACUUCAGGCCAGGACGUUAACCCGCUGAGCCACAGUGCCAGCCCUGACAAUCAUUUCUUAAAAGGUCAUUACUCUGGGUUGGCAAGGGUUUGGGAAGAAUAGGCACUUUUGAAUAUUUUUGUUAGACCUUUAAAUCAGUACUUCUUUCUGAAAGAUAAUUUGGAAAAGUGAUCCAGAUUCUAAAAAUAUCUGUAUUGGGGCCAGUGCGGUUAAAGCACUGCUUGUGAUGCCAGCAUCCCAUAUCAGAGUGCCGGUUCGAGUCCUGGCUGCUUGGCUCCUAACCCAGCUUCCUGCUAAUGUAUCUAGGAAGGCAGCAUAUGCCGGCCUAGUAUUUGGGCCCCUGCCACCCAUUUGGGAGACCUAGAUGGAGUUUCUGCCUGCAGGCUUUGACUGGCUGAGACCUGGUUGUUGCAGCAAUUUGAGGAGUGAACCAGCAGGUGGAAGAUCUCUUUCUGUCUUGGAAGCAGAGCAGCCAGAACUAAAAUCAGUACUCUGAUAUGAGAUGUUGUUGUUACAAGCAGCAACUUAACCCGCUGUGUCACAAAGCUGGCAACAAUAAAUGUGUCUUUUAAUUCUAUUUUUCCAUAAACUUUCUGAAGACCCAUUUUUUAGUCAUUAAAUAAUAAUGUGUAAAAAAAUUCAGUGACAGGGAAAAAUACAGUAAUCAGUCAAUUUUAGUUUAUUUAAUGAUAAACCCAAAUGUGAAGAGAAAUUAUUCCUGAAUAAAGGGAUUAUGAGUGAUUUGAUUUUUAGCUUUAUCUUUGUGUUUUCCACAUUGUGUAACUUUUUUGUGAUGAACAUAUAUUAUUUUGUUACCACAUCUUUUAAGUAUUAAAAAUGAUUUCAGAAAUCCAGACUUUUAAGAUUAUUUAUAUUUUGCAUGCUUGUAAUUAGAAUCAUAAAAUUUCACAGUGGAAAGAGAUCAUAAAGGGGCAAGCACUUAGUGCAGAGAUUGUCGCCACUUGGGAUUCCGGCAGCCCAUAUCAGAGUAAUUGGUCUGAGUCCUGCCAAUUGUGCUUUGGAUCUAGCUUCUUGCUAAUGUGAAUCCUGGGGGGAAGAAGUGAUGGCUUAAGUACCUGCAUGGGAGAACCAGAUGGAGUUCCUGGCUCCUGGCCCUGGUCGGGUCCAGCCCUGGAUAUUGUAGGCACUGGGGAGUGAACCAGCAGAUAGAAGAUUUCUCUUUCUCUCUCUGUCUCUCAGCUUUACAAAUAAAUAAAAAUAAAUAAAUAAUCUUGGAAAAAACAGAAGAAAGAAACUGUAGGUAUACAUGGGGCUUUCAAAAUGUUUAUGAAAAAUGUGAAUUGUGAAAAAUCUAUACAUUUCAAUUUUUUUCCCAGAAUAAAUUUAGCUUUUAAUUCCAUUAUCCACAAACAUUUUGAAGCACCCUCAUAUUCUGGUACAAACUCUACAUUUAAAGUUUGGUCUCUAGAAAUUUUUUUUUUUUUUUGACAGGCAGAGUGGACAGUGAGAGAGAGAGACAGAGAGAAAGGUCUUCCUUUGCCGUUGGUUCACCCUCCAAUGGCCGCCGCGGCCAGCGCGCUGCAGCCGGCGCACCGCGCUGAUCCGAUGGCAGGAGCCAGGAGCCAGGUGCUUUUCCUGGUCUCCCAUGGGAUGCAGGGCCCAAGCACCUGGG